rnacentral:rRNA from 1 species
GACGAACGCUGGCGGCGUGCUUAACACAUGCAAGUCGAACGAUGACGACCGAGCUUGCUCGGUCUGAUUAGUGGCGAACGGGUGAGUAACACGUGAGCAACCUGCCCUUCACUCUGGGAUAACCUCGGGAAAUCGGGGCUAAUACCGGAUAUGAGCUCCUGUCGCAUGGCGGGUGUUGGAAAGUUUUUCGGUGCAGGAUGGGCUCGCGGGCUAUCAGAUUGUUGGUGGGGUAGCGGCUCACCCAGGCGAUGGCGGGUAGCCGGCCUGAGAGGGCGACCGGCGACACGGGGACUGAGAGACGGCCCAGACUCCUACGGGAGGCAGCGGUGGGGAAUAUUGCACAAUGGGCGAAAGUCUGAUGCAGCGACGCCGCGUGAGUGAUGACGGCCUUCGGGUUGUAAACCGCUUUCAGCAGGGAAGAAGCGAAAGUGACGGUACCUGCAGAAGAAGCGCCGGCUAACUACGUG